rnacentral:rRNA from 1 species
UGAAAUAGCUUUCCCUCCAGAGUGGAUCCUGAGUACGGCGGAACACGUGAAAUUCCGUCGGAAUCCGGGAGGACCAUCUCCCAAGGCUAAAUACUCCCUAGUGACCGAUAGUGAACCAGUACCGUGAGGGAAAGGUGAAAAGCACCCCGGAAGGGGAGUGAAACAGUUCCUGAAACCGUGUGCCUACAAGUAGUUAGAGCCCGUUAAUGGGUGAUAGCGUGCCUUUUGUAGAAUGAACCGGCGAGUUACGAUUUGUUGCAAGGUUAAGCGGAAAAAGCGGAGCCGUAGCGAAAGCGAGUCUGAAUAGGGCGCAUAAGUAACAGGUCGUAGACCCGAAACCAGGUGAUCUACCCAUGUCCAGGAUGAAGGUAAGGUAAUACUUACUGGAGGUCCGAACCCACGCACGUUGAAAAGUGCGGGGAUGAGGUGUGGGUAGCGGAGAAAUUCCAAUCGAACUUGGAGAUAGCUGGUUCUCUCCGAAAUAGCUUUAGGGCUAGCCUCGAGGUAAAGAGUCAUGGAGGUAGAGCACUGUUUGGACUAGGGGCCCUUCUCGGGUUACCGAAUUCAGAUAAACUCCGAAUGCCAUGUACUUAUACUCGGGAGUCAGACUGCGAGUGAUAAGAUCCGUAGUCGAAAGGGAAACAGCCCAGACCACCAGUUAAGGUCCCCAAAUAUAUGUUAAGUGGAAAAGGAUGUGGGGUUGCUUAGACAACCAGGAUGUUGGCUUAGAAGCAGCCACCAUUGAAAGAGUGCGUAAUAGCUCACUGGUCGAGUGACCCCGCGCCGAAAAUGUACCGGGGCUAAACAUAUUACCGAAACUGUGGAUGAACCUCUUUAGAGGUUCGUGGUAGGAGAGCGUUCUAAGGGCGGUGAAGUCAGACCGGAAGGACUGGUGGAGCGCUUAGAAGUGAGAAUGCCGGUAUGAGUAGCGAAAGAAGGGUGAGAAUCCCUUCCACCGAAUAUCUAAGGUUUCCUGAGGAAGGCUCGUCCGCUCAGGGUUAGUCGGGACCUAAGCCGAGGCCGAUAGGCGUAGGCGAUGGACAACAGGUAGAGAUUCCUGUACCAGUGCUAAUUGUUUAACCGAUGGGGUGACACAGAAGGAUAGGGAAUCGCACGAAUGGAAAUGUGCGUCCAAGCAGUGAGUGUGAGAAGUAGGCAAAUCCGCUUCUCGCGAAGCAUGAGCUGUGAUGGGGAAGGAAAUUAAGUACGGAAGUUCCUGAUUUCACGCUGUCAAGAAAAGCCUCUAGGAAGAGUAGUACUGCCCGUACCGCAAACCGACACAGGUAGAUGAGGAGAGAAUCCUAAGGUGAGCGAGAGAACUCUCGUUAAGGAACUCGGCAAAAUGACCCCGUAACUUCGGGAGAAGGGGUGCUCUAUUAGGGUGCAAGCCCGAGAGAGCCGCAGUGAAUAGGCCCAGGCGACUGUUUAGCAAAAACACAGGUCUCUGCAAAACCGUAAGGUGACGUAUAGGGGCUGACGCCUGCCCGGUGCUGGAAGGUUAAGAGGAGUGCUUAGCUUCGGCGAAGGUACGAAUUGAAGCCCCAGUAAACGGCGGCCGUAACUAUAACGGUCCUAAGGUAGCGAAAUUCCUUGUCGGGUAAGUUCCGACCCGCACGAAAGGCGCAACGAUCUGGGCACUGUCUCAACGAGAGACUCGGUGAAAUUAUAGUACCUGUGAAGAUGCAGGUUACCCGCGACAGGACGGAAAGACCCCGUGGAGCUUUACUGCAACCUGAUAUGGAAUGUUUGUACCGCUUGUACAGGAUAGGUAGGAGCCGAAGAGACGUGUGCGCUAGCAUACGAGGAGGCAAUGGUGGGAUACUACCCUGGCUGUAUGACCAUUCUAACCCGCCACGCUUAGCGCGUGGGGAGACAGUGUCAGGUGGGCAGUUUGACUGGGGCGGUCGCCUCCUAAAGAGUAACGGAGGCGCCCAAAGGUUCCCUCAGAAUGGAUGGAAAUCAUUCGCAGAGUGUAAAGGCACAAGGGAGCUUGACUGCGAGACUGACAAGUCGAGCAGGGACGAAAGUCGGGCUUAGUGAUCCGGUGGUUCCGCAUGGAAGGGCCAUCGCUCAACGGAUAAAAGCUACCCCGGGGAUAACAGGCUUAUCUCCCCCAAGAGUCCACAUCGACGGGGAGGUUUGGCACCUCGAUGUCGGCUCGUCGCAUCCUGGGGCUGUAGUCGGUCCCAAGGGUUGGGCUGUUCGCCCAUUAAAGCGGCACGCGAGCUGGGUUCAGAACGUCGUGAGACAGUUCGGUCCCUAUCCGUCGCGGGCGCAGGAAAUUUGAGAGGAGCUGUCCUUAGUACGAGAGGACCGGGAUGGACACACCGCUGGUGUACCAGUUGUUCCGCCAGGAGCAUCGCUGGGUAGCUAUGUGUGGCAGGGAUAAACGCUGAAAGCAUCUAAGCGUGAAGCCCCCCUCAAGAUGAGAUUUCCCAUUUCUUCGGAAAGUAAGAUCCCUGAAAGAUGAUCAGGUAGAUAGGUUUGGAGUGGAAGUGUAGCGAUACAUGGAGCGGACAAAUACUAAUCGAUCGAGGACUUAACCAAAA